AACUACUGUCAGCUCACAUUCCUGUGGCCAGAUCCCUCAAAACGCCCCAAAUCCUCCAGACUCCAAAACACCCCCAUUUUGCUCUCCUGCAGCCCAAAUCCCAUCCAGCCACCAGAAGCCCCCCUGUAGCCCACCCGGCAGCAGCCCCAACUCCCCGCCUUGGCUCCCCCCACUCUGGGACCCCAAAAACCUUUGGGGGCUUCUUGUUAUAGGGUCUGGGAGCCCCCUCUUCCUCCAAAGGCUUCACCCUGCUGUAGGUUGAGGUCCGAGGAUCCUGCACGUGGGUGCUGUGGGGACGAAGCCGUAGCAGCAGGCUCCGUUUCGGGGUACAAGCCCGCGUCGAUGCUCACUCCACUCAUCCUCAGCAUGGCCGUGCUUCGUCUCCAGCCCACAGGGGACAGGAAAAUUGGGGACACCGCAGGGAAAUACCCAGGGCUGGGACACAACCAGCCCCCAGCAGGUCCUUGCCCUUAUCCGAUUGAAGCAAAAAGCAGCCAAAACAGCACAAAGAGCCCCAAAUUAGUCACUUGUGAAAGAAAAACCCUGGGAGGUGGAGCAGGGGAGAGCAGCACGUGCGGCGGCAGCUUGGCUCCACGGAGGUGCUCGGCGAGGCUCCGAUCCUCUCCCAGUGCCCUCAGAUCCUGGGAAGGGGAAACCCAGGAGGAGGAGGAGGAGGAGGAGGAGGAGGAGGAGGAGGAGGAGGAGGAGGAAGGAGGAGGAGGAGGAAGAGCAGCAGCGGAGAGCAGAGGCCUGGGAGCAGCCACCAGCAGCCCGGCGGCCCCCACAGGCAAGCAGAAGGCCCGGUUAAAGAAGAGUGUGAAACCAGCCGAACACGAGUCCUUUCACUUCAUCUGACCUCAAAAGCCACCGCGGAGCAGCAGGACGCCAGCGAGCGGCCACCCUCACCUCCCGGCCGGACCCAGCUGGACCUGGAAAUCACCACUUGAAGCAAGAGCAGCAGAAAAAUCAUUCACAUUCUCGUAUCGAGAGGGAAAAGGUGGUCGGAGAUAGCGCUGGCUCUGUCCCCACGCGGCUGCAGUUUGGAGGCCAGACCCUAAACCCAGACACGAAGAUGACCUGCAGCGGUCGGAGCCGGGCGUUGAAGGGUUUGGGGCACAGGGAAAGGGCGAGCAGCCCCGAGCUCCUCUCCUCUCCAGCCCCUCGUGCCUCUGAACGUCCUUCGUUGGCUUCUUCCCUGCCACGCUUCGCCCAGCUCCCCGUCCAAAACCUCGCAGCUUCCUCGCGGGCACCCGCGCCGCGCGCCCUCUGCGUUAAAUAAAGCACAGCCCGAGCACACGCAACAAAGAAACGCUCUGCCACUUGCUCUUUUUUUGCAAUCUUUAUGUAGAUAUUUAACCCUACACCUUUAUCAAACAGAUAGGUAAUGAAUUCUACCAACUAAAAAAUAAAAUAAAAUAAAAUAAAAAUUAAUCAAGUAAAAUUCCGACUUCAUAUAAAAGCCCCCUGCGCACACGGCGGCAGGGCCGUCCCCACGGAGAGCACGCAGGGAGCAGGGGGCCCGGCCUCGUCCCCAUUCCUCCGCAUGCAGGUUCUGUCUCUCAGCUUACAGCCGGUGAGCUUCACACAAUCAGAGCUGGCAUUCAAAAGCGAUUAUAUAUACACACACAUAGGAAGUCAAACAGUGCUCCCAGGGGAAAAAAAAAAAAAAAAAAAAAAAAA
rnacentral:lncRNA from 1 species